GGGAGCGGGGCCGCCUCCCGCAGGCAGCGCACACCUGGGGGAGCGGAGAGUGCGAAGCUGUCAAGGAAUAGCUGGGAUGGUGCUUUCCCAGAGCUUUGGAAACCUCUCCCUGAAAUGCCACCCAGCAGAAAGACUUGGGAACAGUUCACUGCUUUACAGCUCUGUUCAUUUCUUUUCUUCAGGCCUGAUUUUUUUUUUUUUUUUAUAACAAAGAAUCUAUUGAAACUGCA
rnacentral:lncRNA from 1 species